AAAAAUGUCUAAAGGAACGGAGGAGGAGGAGGAGGAGGCGAGCGGCGGCGGCGGCGGCGGCCGCGGCCGCCACACCUGAGGUAGAGCAGGUGUGGGCCACUCCCGAGGCCUCCCAUCGGAGGCGUCCCGGCAGGAGCUUCCCCAUGGGAGCCGAUCCAUGGAGGAGCAGCACCAGCAGGGGAAGAAGAGAAAGCAGAAGACACGUGGUGGUCGCCGCGUCACCAAGAGAGCUCGCCUUUCUAAUGAAGAGUCUCACGCUGGUGAGCGACCACCAGGAGCAGCUGCUCUUCCCCGUGAG